UUUUUAGGGCCGCACUUGCAGCAUAUGGAAGUUCCCAGGCUAGGGGUCAAAUUGGAGCUACAGCUGCCGGCCUACACCACAGCCACAGCAACAUCAGAUCCGAGCCACAUCUGAGACCUUCCUGCAGCCCACAGCAAUGCUGGAUCCUUAACCCACUGAGCAAGGCCAGGAAUCGAACCCACGUCUUCACGGAUCCUAAUCAGGUUCGUUACAGCUGAGCCACCAUGGGAAUUUCGGUUUAAAUGUUCAAGAGAUAAUUUCACUCCAUGCCAAUGCAGGCUGUCACGGUCAAAGGGCCUUUGAAAUUUCCCCAGGACCUUCGGGUGAGAUUCAUUGCCCAGGCUGCCUGGGGUGCCGUCCUUAUAGCCUUCAGCCUGGCUGCAGGUUUGGCUAGAUGGCACUUCAGAGGUUAAUCCUGUGUGAGUACCCCCACCACCACCCCCAUCCAUCUCCUCCUAUUUUUAAAGUGGGAAAUGCUUCUUUGCCGGCAGCCUGCUCUGCAGUGUCUGGCUGAAGCAAGUAUCUAUUAAAAUCCAAGGAAAUGAUGCGUCCUCGGGGACUGGAAAUCAAUGCUCAGAGGCAGGGGGAGUUAUUUGUUAACAAGAAGUGAGUUCCUGUCAUGGCUCAGUGGUUAGUGAAUCCAACUCGGAACCAUGAGGUUGCAGGUUUGAUCCCUGGUUGCCGUGAGCUGUGGUACUUUUCUAAUUGCUUCUCAGAGUGGAUUCUGAGGGUCCCCCAAGGCACAGCCCAGCUGGCCAGAAGGUGGACAUGAAACUGUGCUCGUUUCUAAGUCCCUAGGGCCCAGCAAUCUGCGAGCAUUGUGGGGAUGGGGCCAGGUGGAGGCAGAGAGGUCGCUGUCCCCUCCGCCUGCCUGCAAGGGUCUGAGUUGCCCAGGAGCCCCAGCGCCCUCCGUGCGUCUGAGGUAAGCAGGCAGCAUCCUGGAAGGCUCUGAGCCCCUUGGCACCUGCACAGACCGGAAUUCUGGCUCCGAGCUCUACUCAGGAUGAACAUCAGUCAGGGCAGGGCGGGCUGGCUCUGCCAAGGCAGCGCACAGCUCAUGAUUUCAGAGGCUUCAAACAAUAAGUUCAUUUCUCACAUACGCUCCAGAAACAACAUGAACCUGGCGUAAGGUGCCAGGGUGCGGAGCUUCCAUGGAGAUGUGGUACCGGUCCUGCCCACAUUGGGCUAAGGAUAUCACAGGCCACCCCUGACAUGACAGGGAGGCCACGCCAGCCCGCCUUGUGCCACAAGGCGGAGGGCCGGAAAUAUUUGGUGGAAAGCAAAAUGACCGCGACGCCAGCCAAGUGACCUCUGAGCCCAUUUCCUCUUCUGCAAAAUGAGGGCAAACAGUAUUUGAUCCCCAAUUGUUGUGAGGAUUCAAAGAGGAAACCCUUGACACAGGGGAGCACCGGGGUGAGUAAAAUAAAACUCAGAUGCCUCCCAGGUGGCCUCCAUCCGUGAUCUGACCCUCCCGCCUCCAAGGGCCCCUCCAUGGAGAGGCCAGCGGAGCCUGGACGCUGUCCCCUCCCAGAUCGGCGCUGACCCCUCGGGCAGGCAGACUUCACCCCGUGUCCUCACUUCCUGUCCCUCAAAGGAUGUCUUGUGACAGAUUCGCCCUCUGUGCUGUCAGAGGGCAGGGGCGCACAGACGGGAUGGAGCGUCUGGGGGAAACGAAGGAAAUACAUCUCCAUCCUGUGAGAGGAGCCUUGAGCUGGUGGCCCAACCCAGGUCACCCCAUUUUGACCUCAUAAUAGCCCUGUGAUGAGCGGGUGUGGCAGUCCUCAUUUUGAGGGGAACGUCGCCAGGGGCAGUU
ensembl:lncRNA